UCUGACGCUAGGUCAAGGGCGGUGUUCCUGUGUUCUUAGGGCCCCAGGAGGCGAGUCUGAGUGGAACCUGGCUGGGGUAGGCUGAAAGGUGACUUCGACGCUCUUCUGAGGCCUCAGACGUGUGUGAUGACUGCCCUGUAGAAUCAGUGCUGUGACCCCGAGUAACAACGCGCGCUUGAGUUGGUAUAAACUCCUGAAGAGUGUAGUCCUGCAAUUUACAAGAAAAAGUUAAGUGUAAAAUAGCCUCAGGCAUGUCCUUCAGGAGGGAUUCCAGAGGCAUUGUUAUAGACGAUGACAGCUCUGUGUGUGUUAUUGCCACUGAAGACCUUCCAUGGGACGCGAUGUGGAGCUGGAAGUCAGUGAUAUUGAUGAUCCUGACACAGUCCUAGGAUAAGGAUCUUUAACUUUAUUAGCAGCUACUGAGCUACAGAAUACAAACCAACUGAAAACAUUAAAGAAAGGCUUCCUGAAACAGGCUUUCCAGCUCACUACCCAAAAGACUUGAGUACUUCUAUUAAGGCAGCUGGAAGCCCACCCUAGACUUCAAUGGCAAUUUGUCCUUUCUCUGCCAGU
rnacentral:lncRNA from 1 species